rnacentral:rRNA from 1 species
GACGAACGCUGGCGGCGUGCCUAAUACAUGCAAGUUGAGCGAUGAAGAUUGGUGCUUGCCCCAAUUUGAAGAGCAGCGAACGGGUGAGUAACGCGUGGGGAAUCUGCCUUUGAGCGGGGGACAACAUUUGGAAACGAAUGCUAAUACCGCAUAACAACUUUAAACAUAAGUUUUAAGUUUGAAAGAUGCAAUUGCAUCACUCAAAGAUGAUCCCGCGUUGUGUUAGCUAGUUGGUGAGGUAAAGGCUCACCAAGGCGAUGAUACAUAGCCGACCUGAGAGGGUGAUCGGCCACAUUGGGACUGAGACACGGCCCAAACUCCUACGGGAGGCAGCAGUAGGGAAUCUUCGGCAAUGGACGAAAGUCUGACCGAGCAACGCCGCGUGAGUGAAGAAGGGUUUCGGAUCGUAAAACUCGGUUGGUAGAGAAGAACGUUGGUGAGAGUGGAAAGCUCAUCAAGUGACGGUAACUACCCAGAAAGGGACGGCUAACUACGUG